rnacentral:rRNA from 1 species
CCUGGGAAACUGGGUCUAAUACCGGAUAGGACCGUGCUUUAGUGUGUGCGGUGGAAAGUUUUUCGGUGCAGGAUGAGCCCGCGGCCUAUCAGCUUGUUGGUGGGGUAAUGGCCUACCAAGGCGGCGACGGGUAGCCGGCCUGAGAGGGUGUACGGCCACAUUGGGACUGAGACACGGCCCAGACUCCUACGGGAGGCAGCAGUGGGGAAUAUUGCACAAUGGGCGCAAGCCUGAUGCAGCGACGCCGCGUGGGGGAUGACGGCCUUCGGGUUGUAAACCCCUUUCGGCAGGGACGAAGCUUUUGUGACGGUACCUGCAUAAGAAGCACCGGCUAACUACGUGCCAGCAGCCGCGGUAAUACGUAGGGUGCGAGCGUUGUCCGGAAUUACUGGGCGUAAAGAGCUCGUAGGUGGUUUGUCGCGUCGUCUGUGAAAUCCCGGGGCUUAACUCCGGGCGUGCAGGCGAUACGGGCAUAACUUGAGUGCUGUAGGGGAGACUGGAAUUCCUGGUGUAGCGGUGAAAUGCGCAGAUAUCAGGAGGAACACCGAUGGCGAAGGCAGGUCUCUGGGCAGUAACUGACGCUGAGGAGCGAAAGCAUGGGUAGCGAACAGGAUUAGAUACCCUGGUAGUCCAUGCCGUAAACGGUGGGCGCUAGGUGUGGGGAUCUUCCACGAUUUCCGUGCCGUAGCUAACGCAUUAAGCGCCCCGCCUGGGGAGUACGGCCGCAAGGCUAAAACUCAAAGGAAUUGACGGGGGCCCGCACAAGCGGCGGAGCAUGUGGAUUAAUUCGAUGCAACGCGAAGAACCUUACCUGGGCUUGACAUGGGCAGGACCGGCGUGGAGACACGUCUUCCCUUUUGGGCUUGUUCACAGGUGGUGCAUGGUUGUCGUCAGCUCGUGUCGUGAGAUGUUGGGUUAAGUCCCGCAACGAGCGCAACCCUUGUCUUGUGUUGCCAGCACGUAAUGGUGGGGACUCGCGAGAGACUGCCGGGGUUAACUCGGAGGAAGGUGGGGAUGACGUCAAAUCAUCAUGCCCCUUAUGUCCAGGGCUUCACACAUGCUACAAUGGUCGGUACAGUGGGUUGCGAUGCCGCGAGGCUCAGCUAAUCCCUUAAAGCCGGUCUCAGUUCGGAUUGGAGUCUGCAACUCGACUCCAUGAAGUCGGAGUCGCUAGUAAUCGCAGAUCAGCAACGCUGCGGU